ensembl:lncRNA
CUUUAUAUAUUAUCUACCUCACUUGCUUUGGCAAUGUUAACACAUGUUUCCCAUGCCAAUACAGCCCUUGAAUUGAAUUGAAUUGAGACAGAGAAGAGGGGUGGAGGCAGAGACAGCAAGGAAGAGGGAGAGGAAGAGAAGAGGGGUGGAGGCAGAGACAGCAAGGAAGAGGGAGAGGAAGAGAAGAGGGGCAGAGAAGAGGGGUGGAGGCAGAGACAGCAAGGAAGAGGGAAGAGAGAGAGAGAGACAGAGAAGAGGGGUGGAGGCAGAGACAGCAAGGAAGAGGGAGAGGAAGAGAGAGAGACAGAGAAGAGGGGUGGAGGCAGAGACAGCAAGGAAGAGGGAGAGGAAGAGAGAGAGAGAGACAGAGAAGAGGGGUGGAGGCAGAGACAGCAAGGAAGAGGGAGAGGAAGAGAAGAGAGACAGAGAAGAGGGGUGGAGGCAGAGACAGCAAGGAAGAGGGAGAGGAAGAGAAGAGGGGUGGAGGCAGAGACAGCAAGGAAG